AACUGCACCGGUGGCCUAGUGGUUAAAGCGUCCGCCUCAUAUGCGGGAGGUGGUGGGUUUAAUAUCCGGUCGAGUCA